rnacentral:rRNA from 1 species
UACGUAGGGGGCUAGCGUUGUCCGGAAUCAUUGGGCGUAAAGCGCGUGUAGGCGGUUCGGUAAGUCCGCUGUGAAAGUCGGGGGCUCAACCCUCGAAUGCCGGUGGAUACUGUCGGACUAGAGUACGGAAGAGGCGAGUGGAAUUCCUGGUGUAGCGGUGAAAUGCGCAGAUAUCAGGAGGAACACCAAUUGCGAAGGCAGCUCGCUGGGACGUUACUGACGCUGAGACGCGAAAGCGUGGGGAGCGAACAGG